GACGAACGCUGGCGGCGUGCUUAACACAUGCAAGUCGAACGGGCCUUGUCCCCUUCUUUUUGGGGGUGGGGUUAGUGGCGAACGGGUGAGUAACACGUGAGUAACCUGCCCCUCACUUCUGGAUAACCGCUUGAAAGGGUGGCUAAUACGGGGUGUUCUGGCCUGCUCGCAUGGGUGGGUUUGGAAAGAUUCGACCGGUUUUGGUUGUUUUGGUGGGGGAUGGGCUCGCGGCCUAUCAGCUUGUUGGUGGGGUGAUGGCCUGCCAAGGCUUUGACGGGUAGCCGGCCUGAGAGGGUGGGCGGUCACACUGGGACUGAGACACGGCCCAGACUCCUACGGGAGGCAGCAGUGGGGAAUAUUGCACAAUGGGCGCAAGCCUGAUGCAGCGACGCCGCGUGAGGGAUGGAGGCCUUCGGGUUGGGAACCUCUUUCGCCAGUGAAGAAGGUCCUGCUCUUUGUGGCGGGGUUGACGGUAGCUGGGUUAAUGAAGCGCCGGCUAACUACGUG
rnacentral:rRNA from 1 species